GAAAUGUGUUAAACUGGAGACUUGACUAGUUGACUUGAUUCUUGUAUAUUUCUUUACGUGGCUAACUUGGCUUUAAAAGAAAAGCCUAGACAUGGGUUGCAAGCUUUGCAAGAAAUUCUACAACAACAGAAGUUUGGAACAUGGAGAGCGUGACGUAAGCAAUGGUGAACAAAAUGUUCAAGAUCGUAUUGGAGAAGAGACGGCAGAAAUAGAAAAUUGUAGAAGACGUCGUUCCAUACAAGAGACUCUGGUUGAAGAAUUUGAUUUUUUACCUCAUGUCUUGGAUUUGAUAAGAGAACAUGGAUAUACGAUGGAAGCGCUGGAUGAUUUUGUGUUGAAUGUUCAGUCAACACAAGAAGAAAUGUAAAUAUGAAUGUAUUAGUUGCCAACUUUCAGGUCCGUUUUUAAAACGUUGCAUUUUGCAUGAGCCGGAUGUAUUUCAAACAAAAGAUAGCAAGGAAUUUAUCUAAAUUUUUUUUGUCUUGAAUGCAUUAGACGCAUGUAAAAUGUGCCGUGUGAAACGGGCCUUAGUAUAGAAAUAAAUAUUUACUUUAUUAUCGUAUAAACAACCAAUUACUACUGAUAAAUUAGUGUAAAAUGCAAACCAUUUGAAAACGCAUUCUGUUUCAAAAACGGAAGCUUUCAAGGACCUGUAAUGUUUGUCCACAUCUUAUGUAACUAAUUGACAAUUAACUAAUGUUGCAUUAUUAAUAACCUUCUCCAUAAUAGA